rnacentral:lncRNA from 1 species
UGCUUCUUCAGACGUAGAAGAUCCUCCUUUGUGGAACUGCUUUCAGUAAUUUUUGCUAGCUGCCAAAGGAUUACAUAAUGAGUGCACUGCAGUGCAUGAAUAACAAUCUGUUCUGGCAUGUCUCCAUUUUCAAUGCCAGUUUUCAAUAACUUGUAGUUGCAGCCAAACAAAUCCCAUCUUGAUAGGUCAUGGGCAUUGUGGAAAGCAGUGAUUCUCUUCAAUGUUGACAAGACCUGAUAAGCAUCAUCUUCGUCAGGUUCUUCCCCCUCUUGUAGGAAGUCUUCAAGAAGUCGAUUAAACUUGUCUGCCAGCUCAUCUAUUAACUGACUUCUUGCAAUAUCAACCCUGUUAAAGAUUGUGAACUCUUCGUUACAGAGAGCGUGGUACGUUUUUGAACAGGCUUCCAAAACGUCUAUGUCUGUGUGCUUCUCCACAAUAUCCCGG